UGAGAGAAGAGAGUGAGCA
rnacentral:miRNA from 1 species